CAAUUUAAACCCCUUAACGAGUAACCAUCAGAGGGCAAGUCUGGUGCCAGCAGCCGCGGUAAUUCCAGCUCUGAUAGCGUAUAUUAAAGCUGUUGCAGUUAAAAAGCUCGUAGUUGGAUUUUAGAGUGUAUUGAUACGGUCUCUUGUGAUAAACUUGUUGUACUGUAUCAAUUACUCUUUCCUACUGGUUACUCGACUCUGUUCUUUAUUGCAUGGAGUAGUGUCGCAAGGCAUCGCUUAGUAUUUUAUUGCUUUUAGAUGUAGUAAUUGGGUAAAACUGGUUAUGAAAACCUAAGGGGAUCACAGUAAGGUAUUAAGUGGGGUUCCAGUUCAUUUACUUUGAGUAAAUUAGAGUGUUCAAAGCAGCCUGUAUGGGCAUUGAAUAGAUUAGCAUGGGAUAAUAGAAUAGGAUUCUUGUCUAUUUAUUGGUUUAUAGACUUAGAAUAAUGAUUAAUAGGGAUAGUUGGGGGC
rnacentral:rRNA from 1 species